rnacentral:rRNA from 1 species
AUUGAACGCUGGCGGCAGGCCUAACACAUGCAAGUCGAGCGGAUGAGGGGUGCUUGCACUCCGAUUCAGCGGCGGACGGGUGAGUAAUGCCUAGGAAUCUGCCUGGUAGUGGGGGACAACGUUUCGAAAGGAACGCUAAUACCGCAUACGUCCUACGGGAGAAAGUGGGGGAUCUUCGGACCUCACGCUAUCAGAUGAGCCUAGGUCGGAUUAGCUAGUUGGUGAGGUAAAGGCUCACCAAGGCGACGAUCCGUAACUGGUCUGAGAGGAUGAUCAGUCACACUGGAACUGAGACACGGUCCAGACUCCUACGGGAGGCAGCAGUGGGGAAUAUUGGACAAUGGGCGAAAGCCUGAUCCAGCCAUGCCGCGUGUGUGAAGAAGGUCUUCGGAUUGUAAAGCACUUUAAGUUGGGAGGAAGGGCUGUAGGCUAAUAUCCUGCAGUUUUGACGUUACCGACAGAAUAAGCACCGGCUAACUUCGUGCCAGCCGCCGCCGUAAGAC